rfam:Candidatus Liptonbacteria bacterium RIFCSPLOWO2_01_FTLL_45_15 rifcsplowo2_01_scaffold_3377, whole genome shotgun sequence.
CGGGGUGUAGUAUAGUGGUAGUACGAGGGCAUGGGGUGCCUUUAGCGGGAGUUCAAUUCUCCCCACCCCGA